ACAAUAAAUCACAAUGCGGAACUUUUGUUUUGCAAUUGGAUUGAGAACAACGCACAACACUUAUCGAUAAACAAUUGGAGGGCAAGUCUGGUGCCAGCAGCCGCGGUAAUUCCAGCUCCAAUAGCGUAUAUUAACGUUGUUGCAGUUAAAAAGCUCGUAGUUGAAGUGAAGUGUGAAUCUCUUGGAUUUUCGUUUGAAUUUCCUUUUGGUUCAUACUCUUUCCAAAUAGUUUGCAUGGGUAUUUAAUUAUCUGUGUAUUGCAUUUGGUCAUUUACUGUGAGAAAAUUAGAGUGUUCAAAGCAUACGUUUGUUUGAAUACAUUAGCAUGGAAUAAUUCGAAAAGGCUUUCAUGUUCGAUUUGAUUGGUUUGUUCGUGAAGGCAAGAUUAAAUAGGGACAGUUGGGGGUAUUCAUAUUCAAUAGUCAAAGGUGAAAUUCUCGGAUUUAUGGAAAAUGAACAA
rnacentral:rRNA from 1 species